rnacentral:siRNA from 1 species
GGGCUUAGAUGAUGGGCC